CCGUCCAAACCUAGUCCAAUACCCGGUCCAGCUUGUUACUAAACCAAAAGACCCCGUUUUGUCCCUUUAAUACUUCCCUUCAUCUUCUCUCAUCCAAUGGACGAGAACUCAACUCCCCUAUUAAAUAAAAUUAUACGAAAUUAGUCAAACUCUAAACCCUCAUUUCCUCUCUUCUCGUCUCUCUCACUGUCCGCCCAGAGCCGCCGCUUGAAAUCGCCUCACAGCGGCGGCAACCUCCAAACCUCCCCAAUUUAACACCAAACAAACCCCCAUCCCUUCUUCUUUCCAAAUCCCCUAACCUCUCUCUCCAAAUCCUCUAGAACAUCUCGAUUUGUAGAUCUAGGAAUCAACAGAAAACCUAGUUCGUCCCCGUCUCAAUUUUCCCCAAUCUUGGCCCGUUUGGGGUCAAAACUUACAUCAAUGAACUCCUCAUGUUGAGUGCUAUCAUUUCAUGCCGGUCUUGUACCAUUUCAUGGUCGUCGGAGGUCAGUCAACUCACCAUUGACCGACCAAAAUUCCUUAGAUCAUUCGCCUCUCUUUUUUCUUGCGAUGCAAAAGCUAUUGUUAUGUAUAGCACUGGCCAAAAUGGAGAAUUCUGGCUAGUUCUCAUAUACCAAUAGUUUUCGCUUGCCGGUUUCUGCUUACACUCUUCCCAGAUUUGAAUAGAUAUGUAGCUUUUCUUUUUCUCUUUAAAUUACUUUCAAUUACAUGCUUCGUUGAUUAGUUAGGAUCUGUUAGGUUUACUUGAUUUUUCAAAGUUAAAACUUUAAUUGAAUCAGUAGUUAGUCACACAUCUUCUUGCUAGGGGAUUUGACUAUUGAAUUUUUAAUUAGUCGUUUAUUUGCUUUAGCAUGAUUAAUCAAUUGCCUUUUCUGAUUAAUUAUGUUCCAAUUACCUUUGAGUUUGUUUGUCUUCUCUUAAAUGUUUGGGCUUCUGUUUGAUUCAUUUGAGUAGGAGGUUUGGGCCUAUUGCCCCAAGGUCCAGGCAGAGUUAGUAGUGAAAUGCAAUUUACAAAGUUUAAAGGGGUAAUUGGGGAACUAGAUUUAGGGAAUAAUAUUGAUAACAUCAUGGGUUGCUUCUAGAAGAGUGUAGAAAAGGAUUGUUUAGCAAUAAAGAAAAAAAGAGGUCGGGGGUGAGGAGGUAAAUAACAGAAAACAGAAAGAGUAAAAGAAAAGGAAAAUAACAGAAAAUAGGUGUGAGAAUCUUCUAUAUAACAGUACACUCCCUCACAUAUUCCUGACACAUUCACACAUACACUCUACUCAUCUUUCUCACACAUAUUUAGAUUCAUAGAAAGUAGCCUGGAAUUUUCAAAUUCAAAUUCUAGAUCUGCAAAAACAACAAGCUCAAAAGGCAGAACAAAAAAAAAAUAGAGGGAUUUUUAAAAGGCUUUCUGAUUUCUGCUGUAUCGCUUUGAGAAUUUUUGGGACUCUCAGUUGUUGUUUAGACUAGAAGUUGAGGUUGACUUGCUAUUAUUCUACUGUUUUACUGACAACUUGUAGCUGAUUUUCUUUGUUUUCUUCUGUUUAGACCUUUAUUUGGUCUUUGACUGCUGUCUUGGUAUGUUCGGCUAUCUCUGCCACUCUGGUUUGACUCCUGAAUAAAAGUUCUACUCGUUUAUGUGCUGAUCCUGUUCAAUUUCAUAUAUUUGUUGUGUGUAAUUGUUGAUUUAUUUUGAUUUUCGUUCCCUGUUAAGCUCUGACACUAUUAUGUUCCAAAUCUCUUUGAAUCCUUAAAUUUAUCACAUGUAGUUGUUAGUUUAAGCUUAAAUUCCAUUCUCUGAUCAAGUUCGUACUAUCAAUGUAUGUAAUUCAACAGUUGGGUUGAUUAAUUGUCAAUGAAUAGAUUAACAUCUCCUGUUACUAAUCAUCUAGUUUAUGAGAUUGAUGAUCCUUGUUCAAAGUAAUAUUAACAGGUUAAAUCAAUUAUGCUCCGUUUGUCUAUUCGUUUUUACGUUAAUGGCAAUCAGAUUUACAAGGAUAGCCUAGUGGCUAUUUCCUUGUGAAUUAAGAGUUUAUUUAGAAGAGGUGAAAAUUUUAUGGCCCAACUUUGCUUUUGAGAAUAAGAAUGACCUGUAGGCAUAAGAUUAGAUUAAUACUAGUGAAACUAAAUGAACUAUUGUCCUUUUUAUUCAUAUGUAUAUGUACCUGUUAAUUUAAUAUUCUUGUAAUAAUUUAAGCUGCUUGUUUACAAUUUUGAAUGUGAUUUGCUCUAAUUGUAUGUGCUGGGCUCAUUUCGGAAGCACAAAAUCUUGUCUCAACUUUUAGAGCAAGGAUUAACUUGCAACUUAUGCGUGUUGGGCUGGUAUGUCGGUUUGGAGUCAUUUGGACUCUAUCACUAUCUUGCCCAGAUCUUCAAAGCCCAUUUCGAUCUGCUGACCAACUAUUUGGGCUGGUAAUUUAGAGGAACCCGACGCUUAGGGCUUCGUUUUGGGCCCCUUUGAACCUGUUUUAUUUCCUCACAUGAACAUUUAUUUUUACUCAAUCAAGUAAUUUAAAAGCGGUAAAAGGUAAAAUGCACAUAGGUUCUAAAUACAUAAUAAUUCGUUGAUUAAGACAAGUAUGAUUGUAAAGCGACCGUGCUUAAACCACUGAAUUCGGGAGUGCCUAAUAUCUUUUUUCAGGUUAACAAAAUUCCUUACCCGGUCUUCUGUGUUUCACAGACUUUAAACAGAGUCAAAUUUCUUGAAUUGGGAUUCUAAAAUAAAUGGUGAUUCGGAACACCAUAACUAAAUAAUUUCGAGUGGCGACUUUUUAAAAUUAAAAUAAAUAACCCCUUUUAAAAUAAUGAGCCGCCUUUGAGUCCUCUCGUAUAUAGAACCCUAACCCUAGCCGCCUCACCCCAAGAACUCUCGCGUAGACCUAGGAUAAUAUGGAUAUACUCCAUAUCUCCUUUCCUUUUCCUAUACUAACAAUGAUUCUUCCCCGUUUUCUUGACAUUAUUCGAUUGGUACUGAGUUAUUUAAGAAAGUCGAUAUUCGGGAGGUUUGUUUGGCUCCGAUUCUAGAUAAUUACCAUGUUCUUGACAUGAUACACCUAAAAUUUCAUCUGCUACCGAAUUAGUAUUUGCUCGAUUUUACCCUAAUGUGACACUUUCUGAUGCGCUCAUACAAAAGAAGACCGAGAGAUCGUGUAAGAGAGAACUCGACUAGGCUCCCAAAGAUCUAAUCUCACAAACUGAUUGGCCAAAACUUGAACAUCUGAUGCUAGAUGUCUCUCACCAAUUGGAAUAUAUGCAAGGCCACCCAUACUAACAACCUUUCCAUUCAAGGCAUCGACCACCACAUUGGCCUUCCCGGGAUGAUACAAAAUAGUGAUAUCAUAGUCUUUUAACAGCUCUAACCACCUUCGCUGUCUCAAAUUUAGAUCAUUUUUCUUAAACAAGUGCUGUAGACUCGGAUGAUCUGUGAAUACCUCGCACGACACGCCGUAGAGGUAAUGCCUCCAAAUCUUCAAUGCAUGAACAAUAACUACUAACUCUAAGUCAUGAAUAAGGUAAUUCUUCUCAUGAACCUUGAACUGCCGAGACGCGUAUGCAAUCACCCUGCCAUCCUGCAUCAAUACUGCACCAAGCCCAAUAUAUGAUGCAUCACCAUACAUGGUGUAAGACCCCAAACGCGUAGGCAACACCAACACUAGUGCUGUAGUCAAAGUAGUCUUGAGCUUCUGAAAGCUCAACUCACACUCAUAGGACUACUUGAAUAGGGCACCCUUCCGGGUUAAUCUAAUCAACGGGGUUGCGAUAGAUGAAAACCCCUCCAUGAAUCGGCGAUAAUAACUCGCCAAACCCAGGAAGCUCCGAAUCUAUGUAGCUGAAGUAGGUCUAGGCCAGUUCUGAACUACCUCAAUCUUCUUAGGAUCCACUUUAAUGCUCUAAGAAGAUACCACAUGACCCAAAAAGGCAACCGAAUCCAAACAAAACUCACACUUUGAAAACUUGGCAUAUAAGUGGCUAUCCCUCAAGGUCGGAAGUACAAUUCGAAGAUGCUACUCAUGCUCCUCUCGAUUGCGGGAGUAUACCAAAAUAUCAUCAAUGAAGACGAUCACAAAAGAAUCCAGAUAGGGCUUGAAUAUCUUGUUCAUCAUAUCCAUAUAUGUUGCUGGGGCAUUUGUGAAGCCAAAUGACAUCACUAGGAACACAUAAUGCCCAUACCGAGUCCAAAAAGCUUUCUUAGGGAUAUCUGAUGCCCUAAUCUUCAACUAAUGGUAACCAGAUCUCAAAGCAAUCUUAGAAAAUACUUUGGCACCCUGAAGCUUAUCAAAUAAGUCAUCAAUCCUCGACAGAUGAUACUUGUUCUUGAUAGUGACUUUAUUCAACAACCGAUAAUCAAUACCCAUCCUCAUCGUACCAUCCUUCUUCUUCACAAACUACACUGAUGCACCCCAGGAGGAGACACUAGGUAUAAUGAAUCCCUUAUCAAGCAAAUCCUAUAACUGCUCCUUUAGUUCCUUCAACUCAGCUGGGGCCAUACGGUAUGGUGGAAUAAAAAUGGGCUGAGUGCCCGGAGCCAAGUCAAUACAGAAGUCAAUAUCUCUGUCGGGUGGCAUCCCCGACAAUUCUGCAGGAAACACCUCUGGAAACUCACGCAUAACUGGUACUGAAACCAUGGAAGGAACCUCCGCACUAGGGUCAUGAAUAUAGGCCAAAUAUUCUAGACAUACCUUCUCGACCAUAUGCCGAGCCUUAAAAUAAUAAAUAACCCUGCUAGUAGAAUGGCCAGGAGUCCCUCUCCACUCUAAUCGAGGCAAUCCUGGCAUGGCUAAGGUCAUCAUCUUGGCGUGACAGUCCAAUAUAGCGUGAUAAGGUGACAACCAAUCCAUGCCCCAGAUAACAUCAAAGUCCACCAUAUCAAGAAGUAAGAGCUCUACACUAGUCUCAAGGCUCCCGAUAGAAACCACACACGAGCGAUAAACACGAUCUACAAUAAUAGAAUCUCCCACAGGCGUGGACAUAUAUAUAAGAGCACUCAAAGAAUCACAAGGCAUAACCAGUUAUGAAGCAAAAGAGGAUGACACGUACGAAUAAGUAGAUCCCAGAUCAAAUAGAACUGAAGCAUCUCUAUGGCAAACUGGAACAAUACCUGUGAUGACGGCGUCAGAUGACUCUGCCUCAGUUCUAUAUGGAAAUGCAUUAAAACGGGACUGGGCUCAUCACUCUGACCUCUGCCUCUCGGAUAGCCUCUAGCUGGCUGGCCUCUACCUCUAUUGGCCUGGCCUCCACCUCUAGUAUCCUAACCCCUGCCUCUAGCUGGCUGAGUGGGCGGUGAAGCAACCGGUGCCGGAACUAUGGAACGAGAACCCUGCUGUGGCAUGCCGCCCUGUGACCUGGGGCAAAAUCUAGCAACGUGCCUCGGAUCUCCACUAGUAUAACAAGCCCUCAGAUGCUGUGACUAUUGACCUUGGAACUGGCCCUGUCGACCUGGAAAACCACCCUGAUAACUCUGGAGUAGAGGUGCACUAAUAGGAGCUGAUGGUGCGCUGUAGGUUAGCUGCUCAGGAUGAGACCCAUAUGAACCACGACUACCUGAAGCAUCGCAGAAUACCUGAAGCGCUGACUGAAUCGACCUGUAAGGAUAGCCUCUACCAAAUAAACCUCUACUUCUAGAUGAGGCACUAGUGAAACCACCAAAAUGACGAGGCCUCUUCUCAGAUACCCUUUUCCUGACCACGAACCAUCUCGACCCCUCUAGCAAUCUCUACGCCCCUCUGUAAAGAAAUAUCAUCUCCGGUCUCCUUGGCCAUCUGUAGCCUAAAGUUGAAAGUAAGUACAUCAAUGAGUCUCCAUACUUUCUCCCUCUCAGUAGGGAGUAAGAUAACUACAUGGCGAGCUAGGUCCACAAAUCGGGUUUCAUACUGGGUAACAGUCAUGCUACACUGCUGAAGGCACUCAAACUGCCUGCGGUACUCCUCUCUCAAAGUGAUAGGUAUAAACUUCUCCAGAAACAACUGCAAAAAUGGAUCCCAAGUAUGCGACAUUGAACCACCUGAUCUGCUCCGCACAUGAUCCCGCCACCAUCUCUUGGUCGAACCGGUCAUCUGAAACACUUCAAAGUCUACUCCAUUGGACAAAACAAUACCCAUGUUACUCAACACCUCAUAGCAAUGGUCUAAUUAAUCCUGUGGGUCCUCAGAAGGUGCACGACUAAAGUGAAUAGGGAAGAGCUUUGUAAACUUAUCCAACCUCAUCAAUGUCUCAGAAGACAUCGCGGGCCUUUCCUCGGUCUAUGUGGAAACCACAGGCUGAACUACCCCAACUGGCUAGACUGCUGGAGUUUGAUAUAUGGGAGCUAUCUACUUCAGAGUGUGAGUAGCGGGAGUCUGAGCUCCUCCACUAUCCUGAGAGACAACCGGUGCCACCGGAAAUACACUAGUCGGUACACUCUCCAUAAGGCCUACUAAACGGACUAGAGCGUCCUGAAGCACGGGAGUGGCUAUAAAUCCGUCCGGGACCUGAGCGGGUCCGACUGGUGCAGUCUGAGCUGGGAUCUCCUCCUCAUGAUCAAUCUAAGUCUCCAUAGUGGGAUCUGCUACACGAGCUCUAGGUUGAGAUUUGCCUCAACCUAUGGCUCGACCUCGGCCUCUAUCCCUGGUAGUGGCUGCAACAGGGGGAUCUGGCUCCUUCCCGACUGUAGAUGUUGUGCGUGUUCACACCAUCUGCGAGAGAAGAAGAAUGGAAUGAUUUAAACGUCAAUGAUAGAAUACAAUCACACGAUAUGGAAAAAAAGAAGCGAAAUUUUCCUAAAACUCCAUAUCCUCUAGAAGAUAAGUACAGACGUCUCCGUACCAAUCCUCCAGACUCUACUAAGCUUGCUAUUGACUCGUGAGAACUAAGCAACCUAGUGCUCUGAUACCAACUUGUCACGACCCAGAAUCUUAACUUCGGGGUCUUGAUGGCGCCUAACAUCCACUUGCUAGGCAAGCAAAUAUUAGUUAAGCAAUUCAAUUCAGAAUAAUAACAAUUAUUAAUAAAGAUUAAAGCUGAAAUACAUGAAAUGAACCCAUAACAUAGCACGGUCUAACUCAACUCCAGAAGUCUGGUGUCACAAACAUAUGAGCAACUAAAAGUCUAUAAGUAUAGUUUGAAAUAAAUAUAACUGUUGGAAUGAGAUAAACAAUAAAGAUAGGAAAUGGAAGGGGACUUCAAGGUGCGAACGUCAGCAAAUCUACCUUAAGUCUUCGAAGAAAUUUGAUCCGAGCAGACGCACCUCUAAGCACCGAUGGGACCAAUACCAGUAUCUGCACAAAAAGUGCAGAAGUGUAGCAUGAGUACAACCGACCCAAUGUACUCCAUAAGUGUUGAGCCUAACCUCGAAAUGGUAGUGACGAGGCUAUGGAAAGACACCUAUGUAAAAACACUGUACAAAUAUAUAUAAAGUAGCAAAAUAACAAGAACAACUAUAAAAUAUUAACUGGGAGGGAACAUGCAAAAGGGAAAAUAUCAUAAAAAUGGCAAGUACGAAAUCAUAAAAUAACAUCUUCCAAAAUAAGUAACAAUAUAACCAAGUAAAUCAUCAAAAUCAAAAAUCAAAUAAGGCAAUGAAAUGAAUAUGGCACGACAUCACCCUUCGUGCUUUUACUCUCAUUCUCACCAUGUAAUAUCAUAAAUGAAAUGGCACGGCAUCACCCUUUGUUCUUUUACUCACCAUCACGAUAUCACCCUUCGUGCUUUGACUCUCAAAUCUGUCAAUAUAUGAUAAUGAAUGCAAAUAAGGCACGACAACAUCCUUCGUGCUUUUCUCUCUUCCUCACCAAGCAACAAUACAAAUCCGAAUAAUAAAAACAAGGCGGGAAACAAUUUCACUUCAAUUAUAGUUCCACGAUAUCAAACUCAACUUUCAAAAUAUUCAAAAUCUUUGAAAUAAACAAUAAAUACGAAAUGAAUAAUUAAAAGAAGUAAUAGUCUAACCUAAGCAUAGAAAAUAUAAUCAACGAAACAAUAUAAUACAGAGAAACAAUUUCCACCCGCAUGUUUUAACCUAAUGACAAUGCAUAGAUACUCAUCACCUCACAUAUACGUUGUCCCCACAUAUAUAACAUGUAGCAAAUAGACCAACAAGUCCUAAUCUCUCAAGUCAAAGUUAACCACGACACUUACCUCACUCCGCAACAAAAUCAAUGUUCAACUGCAACUUUUCCUCUAGCAUUAACCUCCAAACCAAUCAAAUCUAACUAAAUAUAGUUCAAAUAAUUCAAAAUAGGCUUUAGAAACUACCCACGAGUGAAAAGAUUCGAUCUUUAAUGAUUUUGGAAAAAGUUAACAAAAGUCAACCCAGGCCCGCUUGGUCAAGACCCGAGAAUCGAACCAAAACUCAAUUACCCAUUCACCACCGAGCUCGAUUAUGUGAUUAGUUUCGAAAUCCAACCUCAAUUUUAGAACUAAAUCUCAAUUUCUUAAAAUCCCCAAUUUCUACCUAAAUCCCUAAUAUAUACCAUUACAAAGUAUAGAUUAAAGGUUAAAAAUCAAUGGAUGUUUAUGAAAAUGUAAGGAAACAAGUUAAAAUCUACUAACAUAUGGAGUUGUGAUGAAAAACCUCUCCAAAAUCACCUCUAGGACGAGCUCAAACUUGAAAAUAGUGAAAAUGAAGAGAAAUCUCGAUUUUGAAAUAUUUAAAUCACUGGGCAUCAGGUAUUCUCCGCGUUCGCGAAACACCUGACGCGAUCGUGAAGCAUCAGUGGUCAGGAGGCCUUCGCGUUUGCAAGAAACUCUUCGCGUUCGCGAAGGCUUUAUCCUUCAUGCCUUCACGUUCGUGAGCCAAUGCAUGUGUUCGCGUUGGUAACUACCCGCCUCCCCCCAGAAUCGCCUUAAACCUUCAUGUUCGCGUGUGAACGGCCGCGUUCGCGAAGGGUAAGCCCUCCACUGCUUCGCGUUCCCAUCCAAUUCUAUGCAUUUGCAAAGAAUAACUCCACCCCAGCCCCAGUUUCUCCUUUCGCGAUCUCGAGAGUAGCUUCGCGAUCGCAUAACAUGAUACACUAGACAUCAACAACAGUGAAAAAAACCCAAAAAUUUUAUAAGUGCACAUGGUCUGUAGCCUAUCCGAAACUCACCCGAGCCCUUCGGGCUCCAAACCAAAAAUACACACAAGUGUAAUAACAUCAUACGAACUCGCAUGCAGGAUCAAAACACCAAGAACUAUAAAUCAGACAUCAAAAUGCAUGAAAUUUUCAAAGAAACUCAAGAACUUCCAAAUUCACAACCGAGCGUCCAAGUCCUAUCAAAUCAACUCCGUUUUGCACCAAAUUUUGCAGACAAAUUUAAAUAAAAAAAUGAACAUAUACCAAGUUUCAAAACCAAAAUUCGAACCCAGUAGCCAUAAAGUCAACCUAAGGUCAAACCUAUAAAAUCUUUAAACCCUUAAGUUACUAGUUUUCGACAAAUCAAGUCAAAUCAUGUCAGGGACUUUCGAAUUCUAUUUCGGGCAUACGCCCAAGUCCAAAUCAAGAUACAGACCCACCGGGAUUGUCAAAAUACCGAUCCUGGGUCCUUUACACAAAAUGUUGAACGUAGUCAACCCAAGUCAUUUUUAAAGUCAAAAUCAUGUUUUCUUCAAAUAUUUCACAUAAACUCUAUCCGAAAAAGGACACAGACUGCGCACUCAAAUCGAGAAAUACUAAAUAGAACUAAUAGAGGUCUUAGAACAUUAAAAUAAGGGCUAGAACUCAAAAUGACCUAUCGGGUCGUCAUAGCCUGAUUUUGGUACUGAGUUCGAAUGUGCUUCAUCCGUCUGACCUUAUGCAUUUGGAGCUUGGGGGUGACGACCCGACUUUUCAUUUCGAGAAUUAACUUCCCGUUCAGUGACUUAAGAUCCCGAGCAGCUUCGUAAUGUGUAUUAUGACUUGCAUGUCUGGUCGAGAUUGGUUUCCAGAUGAUUCGGGAUUAAAUUGAAAGAACAAUUCUUAUUUUUGAAGCUUUAAUGAAAAGAGUUGACCGGAGUUUGACCUUUAAGCAAACAACUCCGGAAUGGAAUUUUUAUGGUUUCAAUAGCUUUGUAUGGUGGUUUCGGACUUAGGCUUAUGCCCGGAUUUGUAUUUGGAGGUCCAUAGGGUAAUUUGAAGUAUUUCGGCAAAAAUUGAAAAGUUAAAGUUUUGGAAGGUUGAGAGGUUUGACCGAGAGUUGACUUUGGUGAUAUCAGAGUCGGAAUGUGAUUCCGAGAGUUGGAUUAGCUCCGCUAUGUCAUUUGAAACUUGCAUGAAAAAUUUGGCGUCAUUCCGGGUUGAUUUGAUAUGUUUCGGCGCGAGAUUUAGAAGUUUUUAGAUUUGGAAAUUUAUAAGCUCGAUUCCUGGUGCGAUUUGUAGUUUUGACAUUAUUUUAUGUGAUUUAAGAUCUUAAGUGGGUUCGUGUUAUGUUAUGGAACUUGUUGGUAUGUUUUGACGGGGCCCGGGGUCUCUGGCGUGUUUCAGAUGGGUUACAGGCCAUUUCUUCAUGUUUUAGAGUUGUUGGUUUCUGGUGUUGCUGUGUCUCUUCGCGAUCGUAAAGUGAUUAUGGGAAACUCAGCAUUUUUGCUCAUCGCGGACGCGACAGUGGGCAUGCAUUCGUGAAGGUUCAGCUGGUUGUUGUUCUUGUUUGCGUAGGGUGUUCCGCGUUCGCAUAAGGGAAUUGGAGACUGGUGGAAUGUUACUCGUCGCAUUCGCGAGAUUUGGUAUGCGUUCAUAAAGGUUGGCCAUUCUGUUCAUUGCGUUCGUGAGGUGUUUGCUGCGAAUGCGUAGCUCAUUUCCUUGAGCAGUGAUUUUUGUGUUCCGCGAUCGCGAGGUGUGUUCCGCGAUCGCGUAAGAGGAAUGCCUAGGUAGAGUUAUAAGAACUCUAUUUUGAGGGUUUGGCCAAUUUAAUCAUAUUUUGAGUUGUAGACCUCGGAUUUGAGCGAUUCUUCUUCGGAUUUUCAAGCAAAUCAUUGGGGUAAGUGUUCUUCACCCAAAAUUUAUUAUAUUCCAUGAUCCUCUCUUUAUUUUAUCUUAUAAUUAGUGUUUUGGAUUGAGGAAAAAUGGAAAUUUUUGAACAAAUCUUUCAAAAUGUAAAAUGAUGAUUUGAAGGAUGAAUUGGUAUCAGAAUUUGGUAAUUCUUAUAUGGUUGGACUUGUUAUCGAAUGGGUGUUUGGAUUUUAUAAUUUUUGUCAGGUUUUGAGAUGCGGGCCCAGGAGGUUGACUUUUGGGUUGACUUGUAGUUCUUGUUAAAGAUUGAAGCUUUAUUAUCCAGAAUUGUUUCUUAUGAGUUUUAUUUAUGAUUUGAAGUUAUUUUGGCUAGAUUUGAGCCGUCCGGAGGUUCUUUCUCUCGAGAAGAUCAUUUUAGAGUAUCGGUCUAGCUUCUUUGAGGUAAGUAUCUUUCCUAACUUUGUGUGGGGGAGCUACCUCUUAGGAUUCGAGUAUUUUGUGCUAACUGUGUCAUGUGAAGGCCAUGUACGCGAGGUGACGAGUACGUGCUCGGGCUUAUUUGUGGAAAUUUGACUGUUUAGGGCUCUUAGGUUCUUAUGUUCAUUAUAUAUGAAGUUGUUUUGUCAUUUUAAAUUCCCCAUUUACUAAAUUCACCCUUACGUGUAUUAUUUGGAAUUAAUUGCUUCAUGUUUUACCCUUAUUGCCGAUUAAACUCUUAUGUACCUUAACUGAAAUUGUUGUCUCUUUUAUCAUCAUGCUAUCCUUUCCGUAAUUUCUUAACCUUAAUUGAAAUCAGUAUUAUCUCUUCCGUAAUUGCUUAACCUUAACGAAAUUAGUAUUAUCUCUUCCGUAAUUGCUUAGCCUUAAUUGACGUUUGUUAUCCCUUUCGUUGUUGAUGUAUUCUUAUUUGGGGUCAUUGAUUCAUGCUAUCUCUUGUCGAAUUGUACUUUCGUGGAAUCAUUGUUACACAUUACCUCUCCCUUGUUGAACUAUUCUUCUUGAGACUAUUAUUUCCCUGUUGUGUCUUCCUUUGUGAGUUCGUUCUUCCGUUUCUUUGUGUUCAUAAGUUCUUGUGUUGAUUUACUUGCCGUAUUCUUGUGUUAUUGUUGUUGUUGCUAUUGUAUUCAGUGUUGUUGAGCCGAGGGCUAUGCGUGGUUGUGAUAUUGAAACUGUUUUGAGGAAAUAUUGUGGCAUAUGGGCACAUAUUGUGUAGGUCAUUUUUGUUGAGUAGUUAUGUUUUGGCACACAUGUUAUUUUUGCAAGGAUUGUUAUUGUGUUUGCAUGAGGUUUUUGCUGUGCGGUUGUUAUUAUAUUUGCACGAGGUUUCUACCAUGUGGUUGUUAUUAUGUUUGCACGAGGUUUUUGCCAUGCGGUUAUUAUUGUGUUUGCACGAGGAUUUUGCCUUGCGGUUGUUAUUGUGUUGCACGAUGUUUCUGCCAUGCUGUUGUUAUUAUUGAUAUGCAUGCGGUGGUAUAAGGUCUGGGUGUUGAAACGUAUGCAGUGAGAUAAGGUGGGCUUGAAAUGCGUGGCUAGUAGGGGAACUACUAGAAGCCAUGCGGUGUGAUAAGGUGGGAUAAAAUGCGGGACGCUAUUUCGGGAAAAUGAUUUUCAAAACUAAAUAUAAAGGCUCCCGCGGUGAUAUAAGGAAAGUUGUGAUUCAUUUUACGAUUUGAGACUACGAGGCUGUACUUUGGGAGGGCUCUUGUUGUUAUUUCCCCUUUUCUAUGCACUUGUCUUUGAUUGUUGUUUUCCUUAGCAUACUAAUAAUUAUUUUCCUCCGUGAUGCACUUUUUGCUAAGUUCUAUGUAGCUAAUCUUGUUGUGCUAGCCGCUGCUACAAACUUCAUUGCUGCUUUUAUGACACUGUACAUUUCGUGGUGAUUGUUUCUUAUGCGCCAUUCAUCGUCUCUACUCCUAUUUAUUGACUGGAAUUGUAGUAGAACACUUGCACAAGCAUACACGUAAUUAAAUCACCCAUAUCAGUUUCAAAAGGUGAAUCCUGACAUCGUUAACCAUUAUACGUACUCUUGUCUACUUGCCUUCUGUGUGAGGAAUGGUCUAUUGUCAUGUGGGUUGUCCGUGCGGAUAUGAGUUGUUAUGUGGGGACAGGAUGCCAAGUGAUUAGGGUUCAAAAAUUGGGAUUUUCAUUGUGAUAUUUUCAUUGAACUGUUUAAUUCUAUCCCGAACAGUUGCAUUUAGGGAUUUUUCUAGCAAACUCAGUAGAGCUUAUGACUUGUACUAUCGGUUUUGGGAAUUGUAAUUAUGUAUAAGAUUUUUAUCUCGUAUUUAUCAUUCGAUGGUUGAAUUCUUCUAUUAAUUCAGUAAGUGUUAGGCUUACCUAGUCUUAGAGACUAGGUGCCGUCACGACAUCCUAUGUAGGAAAACUGGGUUCGUGACAAGUUGGUAUCAGAGCUCUAGGUUCAUAGGUGCUACGAGUCAUAGGAGAGUUUAGUAGAGUCUUGCGGAUCGGUACGGAGACGUCGGUACUUUUCUUCGAGAGGCUAUAAAACUAUUAGGGCGGUUUCAUUUCCUUCAUUCCUAUCGUGCGAGUUUAUUGAUCUCAGAGUUUAUACCUUUGGCAUUCUAUUCUCUCACAAAUGGUGAGGUCACGAGCUGCAGUUACCGACGAUGCUGCCCCCAGAGCCGGUGUUUCUAGGGACCGGGCAGAGGCAAAGGCAGAGGACGAGGAGGAGCAUGUGCUACAACUAGAGUACCUGUUCGAGCAGCCGUUGAGGAGCCACCAGUAGCUCCUGUUGGGGUAUAGGUACCAGAGGCGCAUGUUGUUACCCCCGGACUUCGGGAGACUUUAGCAUAGUUCAUGAGCAUGUUUGGUACAUUGGCUCAGGCGGGGUUAAUUUCGGUUGCACCAGCUACUUCACAGAUCGGGGGAGGAGAUCAGACUCCCGCCGCCCGUACUCCAAAGCAGCGAGUCCACGUUGGUCAGGUUUCGGGUAUCAUGCCGGCACAACAUGUUGUCCCAGUUCAGCCCGUGAUUAGGGCAGCAACAUAUGAGGAAGAACAGCUUAGACUUGCGAGGUUCAAGAAGUAUUACCUUCUUACUUUCAGUGGGUUGGCUUCAGAGGAUGCACAUGGGUUCCUAGGGGAGUGCUACCGUAUUCUCUGCACAAUGGGUAUUGUGGAGACGAGUGGGGUUUCUUUCACUACGGUCCAACUUAAGGGAGCAGCAUAUUAGUGGUGGCGAGCGUAUGAGUUGGGUAGUCUGGCCGAUGCAGCUUCACUUUCAUGGGUUCCGUUUUUAGGAAUGUUAUUAAGAGAGUUUGUUCCCCAGACCCUUUGGGAUGCAUGGCGCGUAGAGUUUGAGCAGCUGUGCCAGGGCACUAUGUUGGUGUAAGAGUAUGCCGUUAGAUUCAAUGGUUUGUCCAGACAUGCACCUGUUUUGGUUUCUACAUUCAGAGAGUGAGUCAGUAGGUUCAUUGAGGGGACCCGUCAGGAUAUCCGGUUCAGCAUGGCUCGAGAGUUGGAGUCUGAUGUUUCAUUUCAGUAGGUAGUAGAGAUCGUCCGUCGACUAGAGGGCAUGUGGGAUCAGGAGAGAGAGGGCAAGGAGGCUAAGAUGCCUUAUAGGUGACGAGCUCCAAACACACACCUAAAUUAUGCUCGCUAGUCAAAUAUAGUAUAGUAUAGUAUAAUAUCGUAUCCACAGGGAUUGGAUUUAAACAGUAUUCUCGUAGUUUCUAGAUUGGUUGCUAUCCAAGAUGAUCAACAGUUGAGUUUUAUAAGAUGUCUAACUAAAAUUAACUAAGAAUCUAAAGCUAUUGACUAAUGACAAUUGAAACAAGGAAUAAGAAAAGAAGGUUAUCAAUGGGAGAACAUAGAGUUUUGAUGGGAUAGGUGCAAGUUAAUUAUUUGGGAUCUAACUCUAGGUAAUUCACUUNNNNNNNNNNNNNNNNNNNNNNNNNNNNNNNNNNNNNNNNNNNNNNNNNNNNNNNNNNNNNNNNNNNNNNNNNNNNNNNNNNNNNNNNNNNNNNNNNNNNNNNNNNNNNNNNNNNNNNNNNNNNNNNNNNNNNNNNNNNNNNNNNNNNNNNNNNNNNNNNNNNNNNNNNNNNNNNNNNNNNNNNNNNNNNNNNNNNNNNNNNNNNNNNNNNNNNNNNNNNNNNNNNNNNNNNNNNNNNNNNNNNNNNNNNNNNNNNNNNNNNNNNNNNNNNNNNNNNNNNNNNNNNNNNNNNNNNNNNNNNNNNNNNNNNNNNNNNNNNNNNNNNNNNAUCAAUGAUUCAACUAGCUUCUCUCAAUUUCUAAGAAGAAUUAAAGAACUCAACCAAUAAUAUUAUGCAAGGAUAUCACAAGUUAUGCCUCUCUCAAUUACAUGAACUAGUGAAUAUAGAUGCAACAGUUAAAUCAUCCAAAAACGCUUCAAUACAUAAAACUAGAGUUAUAAUCCACAAACAAUCAUCUAUACACCAAAUCCAUCAAACUCUAAAGAGAACUACUCCAUAGACAUGGAGCAAUUCAUCACAAAUAUAACUAAAGUAUAGGAAAACAUAAAUUCAAUCCAAACUUGGGUCUAGAGUGAGGAAGGAAUGAUGAAAUCCUUGUGCUCGUGUUCUUCCAACUCCUUCUUAGCCUCCUUAGGUCGAAUAUGUGUCAAAAGCCCAGAAAAUAACGUUUUUCAUGUAUUUAUACCAAGUAGGGUCGGCCCUAGAUGAAAUCACCUUUUCCUAGCCGAAAUAGGAAAAUAACUCUGUAAAAAUUAUACAGGCGUGCCUCAUGGUGCGACGCGCCAUGCGGGGCAUUAGUGGAGCAAUCCAGAGAGUUGACUUCUGACAGACAGCAGGGAUUUGCACAAGCGCGGCAACCCCACAUGCCGUGACAGUGGGGAAUUCUCAGAGUACAGAUCAAAUCUCAAUUUUUGACGUCCAGACUUUGUCCUCGACCCCCAAACACGAUCCCGGCUUAAUCCCUUGAGCUUUUACUCAGACUUCAAAUCUCCAAAUAGCUCGAAUUCAUUCCAUAAUAUCUACAUAGCUCGGAAUCACUCCUACAAGGCAGAAAAAGACACAAUAAGUGCAAAAUACUAUCAAUUAAAGCUCAAACAUGAAUAAAGUGCAGUGAACUAUAGUGCAAUAAGCGACUAAAAUACGUAAUUAUAGCCUACGAUCAACACCCCACACUUAAACCAUUGCUCAUCCUCGAGCGAUCAAAUUACACUGCAUAUAGACACAACCUUUUUAAAGAACUCUCAUAACUCAUCACACCAAGAAAAUUUGAAACAGAUGAAGCACAAUACCGUAACAUCCUAUCCUCAAGAUUUGACUCAAAAGCACCAUGCGUUAUUUAUAACCCGCUCACUUACUCUAACACAGAGGUCAACGACAUUACCUUUCCUUUAUGAAUCAAGUGCCCUGACACAACAAUAGAGAGUAGUUCUCACACAAUGAAAUUUAAGAACAAUUAGGAACUCAAGAUAGAAAGAAUUCACUUACUCUCAGAAACAACAUUCAUAUGCCACGAAAGAUGUACCAUAGGCUUUCUCGUAGCGUACUACUCUACUAAUUGAGCUCAUUCAGUCAAGGAUCAAGUAGGACUUUAACUGGUUGUAAUGUAGGCUACGAGAUGGGUAGGAUACAUUUAGAUAUAAGAGUGACUACCCCUAAGCACUUUAAUAAUACAAUUAGCCAUUCAAAACCCCAUACUUAUGUCAAACCAUAACUCCACCUUCACAUCAAUAUACACUAACUCCCUACUUCUUUAAGCACAAUUACAUCAAGUUACCACUAUCAAGGAACAUUUUUCACAAUCAUACACUUUUUUUCCUCUUUCAAUUCAAGUGGCUCUUACUUUUUCAAAACAGUGCACCUUCUUCCUUAUUUCGAUAGUUCCACUCAAAAGUCAAACCAACCACCCCUCACUUCAACUUUUACAAAGUUCAUAAAUAAUUCAAGUGCUCACGAGAGGUAAAUGAUUCAAAUAGAUGGUCAAUUCAAACAAAUGGGUAAGGCGUGUAAUGUGGUUGCCAAAGAAACAAGAUUAUAGGCUCAAGGGGGUUAACUAAGAUACAUAACAAUUAGGUGGGUAAAAGCCUAUAACUGGCUCAACAAAGAAAUGCCUAAAUCACUUUCCAGACUGAAUAAAACUACUAUUUCGUGUUGCAAACACACGGGGCAAGUUCUAGACAUCAAAUGCAACGCACAGAAUAACACAAAACCUCACACACACAUGGCAUAUAACUCACUCAGGAUUAGAUUAUCAAGACACUCUAGUCAAAGCAGUUAAGCAAAGUUAAGAUCAUACAAUUUAAGGUACUUAUACAAGAUUCAAAAACUGAGCCUAAGCGUCACAACUAAAGCACUCAUUAUUCUCAAGGCAAAGUAAAGUCAAGAGAUAUUGCCUUCAAUUCAAACCAUAGCACAAGAUUUCCUACUCCUAAAAAAAUAAAAACUAACAACACCCGAUUCAAACAAAACCCUUGGAAAAGAACCGCGGCACAAUGAAAAAUCAAGGGACUUGUUACACUAUCUACAAAAGAAAAACUUUUUGUAUUUUUCUUUUGACUUUAAUCCCUCAAGAAAUCAGUCAAUGAUAUCCAUCGUCGGGAAAAAUCAAAUGUUUUUUAAAAUUUUUAUGAUUUGUUUUCAANNNNNNNNNNNNNNNNNNNNNNNNNNNNNNNNNNNNNNNNNNNNNNNNNNNNNNNNNNNNNNNNNNNNNNNNNNNNNNNNNNNNNNNNNNNNNNNNNNNNNNNNNNNNNNNNNNNNNNNNNNNNNNNNNNNNNNNNNNNNNNNNNNNNNNNNNNNNNUUNNNUUUUUUCUAUCUCCAACUACUACAACUAGCAAAAAGAAAACUAAUAUAUAUACAUACAUACAUACAUACAUACAUACAUACAUACAUACAUACAUACAUACAUACAUACAAAUAUCCCCCACCCCACACUUUAAGUUGUGGCAUGUCCUCAUGAUACAUAAUUAAAAAGCAAGAGGUAAAGAAAACUUCCCUGAAUUUUCUUCUUUUCCGAGAACUUAUGAACUCUACCCCUAAUUCUGAAUUCAUUCCUCGUUUUUGCUCCUUGGGAUUUUUGGUGAAGCUUAUUAAGCCCAAUUCUUAUGAGCCAUCCAGAGGUUGUUUCUCUCGAGAAGGUCAUUUUAGAGUAUCGGUCUAGCUUCUUUGAGGUAAGUAUCUUGCCUAACUUUGUGUGAGGGAGUUACCCCUUCGGAUUUGAGUCAUUUGUGCUAAUUGUGUCAUGUGAAGGCCGUGUACGCGAGGUGACGAGUACGCGCUCGGGCUUAUUUAUGGAAAUUUGACCGUUUAGGGCUCUUAGGUUCUUAUGUUCAUUAGAUAUGAAGUUGUUUUGUCAUGUUAAAUUCCCCAUUUACUAAAUUUACCCUUACGUGCCUAAUUUGGAAUUAAUUGCAUCAUGUUUUACCCUUAUUGUCGAUUAAACUCUUAUGUGCCUUAGUUGAAGUUUUUGCCUCUUUUAUCAUCAUGCUAUCCUUUCCAUAAUUUCUUAACCUUAAUUGAAAUUAGUAUUAUCUCUUCCGUAAUUGCUUAACCUUAAUCGAAAUUAGUAUUAUCUGUUCCAUAAUAGCUUAGCCUUAAUUGAAGUUUCUUAUCCCUUUCAUUGUUGACGUAUUCUUAUUUGGAGUCAUUGAUUCAUGCUAUCUCUCUUGUUGUCGAAUUGUACUUUAGUGGAAUCAUUGUUACACAUUACCUCUCCCUUGUUGAACUAUGACUAUUAUUUCCCUGUUGUGUCUUCCUUUGUGAGUUCGUUCUUCCGUUUCUUUGUGUUAUGAAGUUCUUGUGUUAAUUUACUUGCUGUAUUCUCAUGUUAUUGCUGUUGUUGCUAUUGUAUUCAGUGUUGUUGAGCCGAGGGCUAUGCAUGAUUGUGAUAUUGAAACUAUUUUGAGGAAAUGUUGUGGCAUAUGGGCACAUAUUGUGAAAGUCAUUUUUAUUGAGUUGUUAUGUUUUGGCACACAUGUUAUUGUUGAAAGGAAUGUUUUUGUGUUUGCACAAGGUUUCUGCCAUGCAAUUGUCUUUGUGUUUGCAUGAGGUUUCUGCCAUGCAAUUGUCUUUGUGUUUGCAUGAGGUUUCUGCCGUGCGGUUGUUAUUGUGUUUGCACAAGGCUUUUGCCGUGCGGUUGUUAUUGUGUUGCACGAGAUUUCUGCUGUGUUGUUGUUAUUAUUGAUACUCAUGCGGUAGUAUAAGGUGUGGGUGUUGAAACGCAUGCGGUGAGAUAAGGUGGGCUUGAAACGCGUGGCUAGUAGGGGAACUACUAGAAGCUAUGCGGUGUGAUAAGGUGGGCUAAAACGUGGGAUGCUAUUUCAGGAAAAUGAUUUUCAAAACUAAAUAUAAAGGCUCCCGCGGUGAUAUAAGGAAAGUUGAGAUUCAUUUUACGAUUUGAGACUACGAGGCGGUACCUCGGGAGGGCUCCUUUUAUCAUUUCCCCUUUAUGUGCACUUGUCUUUGAUUGUUGUUUUCCUUAGCAUACUACUAAUUGUUUUCUUCCAUGAUGCACUUUUUGUUCAACUCUAUGUAGCUAAUCUUGUUUUGUUGGUCGCUGCUUCAAACUUCAUUGCUGCUUUUAUUACACUGUACAUUUCGUGGUGAUCAUUUCUUAUGCACCAUUCAUUGUCUCUACUGCUAUUUAUUCACUAGAAUUGUGGUAGAACACUUGCACAAGAAUACACAUAGUUAAAUCACCCAUAUCGGUUUCAAAAGGUGAAUCCUGACGUCAUUAACCAUUAUACGUACUCUUGUCUACUUGCCUUCCAUGUGAGGAAUGUUCUAUUGGCAUGUGAGUCAUCCAUGCGGAUAUGAGUAGUAAUGUGGGCACAUGACGCCAAGUGAUUAGGGUUCAAGAAUUGGGACCUGCGAGCUGUGAUUAUGAGGUUCGGUACCUCGUGGAAAUGCUUGAACAAAUAUGGUGUGACAUUGGUUGUUCUUUUUGAGCUGUUGCUAUUUUUUCCUUUAUUUUGAUUUCACUGGACUUAGACUGUGUCCAGCAUACUCUACGACAUUGUUUCCUGACUGCUUCAUGUUAAAUAUUGUUGUUAUUGGUGUCUCGUUGCAAGUAUUUUUUGGUAUUCUUUACCGUACUUAGUUGUAUAUUAAUAUUGUUUUUCUCUGUUAGUUCACCUUCACACUUGUUCAGGUUGUUUAGUUCGGUAGGUGUCUUUACUGUCCCUCGUCACUACUCCACCGAGUUUAGUUUUGAUACUUACUGGGUACCGUUGUGGUGUACUCAUACUAUGCUUCUGCACAUAUUUGUGCAGAUCCAGCUGCCAUGGUUGUUGUUGAUUAUUAACUGGUUGGUCGAGCUGUGGAGACUCAGGGUAAACCUUCCAUCGCGUUCGCAAGCCUCAGAGUCGCCUUCUGAUAUUUUCAUUGUACUGUUCAAUUCUAUCCCGAACAUUUGCAUUUAGGGAUUUUUCUAGCAAACUCAGUUGAGCUUAUGACUUGUACUACUAGUUUUCGAAAUUGUAAUUAUGUAUAAGAUUUUUAUCUUGUAUUUAUCAUUCAAUGAUUGAAUUCUUCUAUUAAUUCAAUAAGUGUUAGGCUUACCUAGUCUAAGAGACUAGGUGCCGUCACGACAUUCUACGGAGGGAAACUGGGGUCGUGACAUUGGGCCUGUUGGCUUGCAUUAAGUUCGAGGAUAUUGAAGGCCUAGAUAUGUUAUCGAGUUAUUUGUGUAUUUGUAUUGGGCCUGUAAUUAUUCAUUCUGGGUCUGUAAUAGUUUAUAAAAUUAAUAAGUGG
rnacentral:lncRNA from 1 species